AAACGCUGGCGGCAGGCCUAACACAUGCAAGUCGAGCGCCCAGCAAUGGGAGCGGCGGACGGGUGAGUAACGCGUGGGAACCUUCCUGAUAGUACGGAAUAGCCCAGGGAAACUUGGAGUAAUACCGUAUACGCCCGUAAGGGGAAAGAUUUAUCGCUAUCAGAUGGGCCCGCGUAGGAUUAGCUAGUUGGUGAGGUAAUGGCUCACCAAGGCGACGAUCCUUAGCUGGUUUGAGAGAAUGACCAGCCACACUGGGACUGAGACACGGCCCAGACUCCUACGGGAGGCAGCAGUGGGGAAUCUUGGACAAUGGGCGCAAGCCUGAUCCAGCCAUGCCGCGUGAGUGACGAAGGUCUUCGGAUUGUAAAGCUCUUUUGCCAGGGACGAUAAUGACGGUACCUGGAGAAUAAGCCCCGGCUAACUUCGUG
rnacentral:rRNA from 1 species